AUAAUGAUACUUUUCCACGGAACCGGCGGAGUACCCGGCGGGGGUGAGAUUCCCAUGG
ncrna:unclassified sequences pemK RNA